rnacentral:rRNA from 1 species
AUACGUAGGGGACGAGCGUUGUCCGGAAUUACUGGGCGUAAAGGGCGCGCAGGCGGAUAUUUAAGUCAGCUGUAAAAGGCAUGAGCUCAACUCAUGUAUGCGGUUGAAACUGGGUAUCUAGAGUGCUGGAGAGGUAGGCGGAAUUCCCGGUGUAGCGGUGAAAUGCGUAGAUAUCGGGAAGAACACCAGUGGCGAAGGCGGCUGACGGGCGCGCAAGUGUCGCUGAGGCGCGAAAGCCAGGAGAGCAAACGGGAUUAGGUGCCCGAGUAGUCCUGGCAGUAGAGGAUGUAUGCUGGGUGUGAGAAUAACGAUAGUUUCGUGCCGAAGUUAACGCGAUAAGCAUACCGCCUGGGGAGUACGGUCGCAAGACGGAAACUUAAAGGAAUUGACGGUG